UACGAAGGGGGCUAGCGUUGCUCGGAAUCACUGGGCGUAAAGGGUGCGUAGGCGGGGCUUUAAGUCAGGGGUGAAAUCCUGGAGCUCAACUCCAGAACUGCCUUUGAUACUGAAGAUCUUGAGUUCGGGAGAGGUGAGUGGAACUGCGAGUGUAGAGGUGAAAUUCGUAGAUAUUCGCAAGAACACCAGUGGCGAAGGCGGCUCACUGGCCCGAUACUGACGCUGAGGCACGAAAGCGUGGGGAGCAAACAGG
rnacentral:rRNA from 1 species